rnacentral:rRNA from 1 species
UUGUUCCUACGGGGCGCAGCAGUGAGGAAUAUUGGUCAAUGGGCGGGAGCCUGAACCAGCCAAGUCGCGUGAGGGAAGACGGUCCUAUGGAUUGUAAACCUCUUUAGGCGGGGAGCAAUGCCGGGCACGCGUGCCCGGAGGGAGAGUACCCGCAGAAUAAGCAUCGGCUAACUCCGUGCCAGCAGCCGCGGUAAUACGGAGGAUGCGAGCGUUAUCCGGAUUUAUUGGGUUUAAAGGGUGCGCAGGCGGAGGUGCAAGUCAGCGGUCAAAUUGCGGGGCUCAACCCCGUACUGCCGUUGAAACUG